GGGGGAUUAGCUCAGCUGGCUAGAGCACCUGCCUUGCACGCAGGGGGUCCUGGGUUCGAAUCCCUGAUCCUCCACCA
rnacentral:tRNA from 2 species